GAAAGAUGAAAAGAACUUUGAAAAGAGAGUUAAACAGUACGUGAAAUUGUUGAAAGGGAAACGAUUGAAGCCAGUCGUACCUUCGGGUAAUCAGCCUUUCGGGUGUGAUUCUGUGGAGUUUGAGGAGCUUAACACCUUCAUGCUUUGCAUAUUCGUGCUCUUGGGUGUACUUGCCCGUAUGGUUGGUUAACAUCAAUUUUGGUGGUCAUAAAAUGACUGGAGGAAUGUAGCUUCGAUCUUGUAUUGAAGUGUUAUA
rnacentral:rRNA from 1 species